GUCUUUUUGCAUUCAUAAACGUGAUGAUUGGGAAUUCACUCCACUGCAUGAUGUAUGCCACCCAUUAAACCCUGUUGCGAUGUCAGCACAUUACCCAUUUAAAA